ensembl:lncRNA
ACUGUAGGAAAGCUGAUAAUACAUUCUGAGGUCUCAGUCAAUCUUGGAUUGAAAGAAUGAGCAGAGCUGAAUUCAUAUCUCAUAUUGCAGGUGCAGCUGAAUGAGAAUGACACAAAGCAGUGGGUGAAGAGGGUGGAGAAAGCUUCAGAGUUUGCUGUAGCUGAGGUGUUUUCCAUCAAGAAACCAUUUGGUAGAAAAAAAAAACUAUGGCUCUGCAGACUGUACAGGAUCACGAUGAUGUGUACAGUGAAGCUCAGUCAAUUCUAAGUGAAUGGAUGAACCAGAAAUUACGUCUGGAGCUUGAAAUGGAUGAUGACGAGGAGGAAGAGGAGAUGGAAGAAUCCAAACCAAAUCCUAUAAUAACUUUGAUGACAUGUACUUUCACCUAGCACAGGAAGAGAAGAACUCUGUAGUGCACAGUUUCAUCCAAGACCUGAUGGAAACCGAGGUGUUGGACUUUGGGAUAAGAAGAGAUGGAGGGACCCUAGCAUUACCAUAGAGGUGCGUCACAAGCAGGUAAAGGAGAACCGCAUGCGCAGAGAUGCAGAGCGUGAGAAACUGCGUAAAGAGAAGGAAACGCUGAGGGAGGUGCGAGAGGAGGCGUGGCAACUGGAAAAGGAGAAGCAGUGAAAGAAGAGGCAGGAAGCACGCAGACAGGAAGAACUGAUCCAGCAGGAGAUGAUUCACAUACGCAGAGAGAUGGAGGAGAAGAGGAGUGUGGAGCAGCUUGCACAUAACGUACAACAACCAUAAGAGUAUUUGGGCACUCUAGUAAAAGUAA